rnacentral:misc_RNA from 1 species
AACGCACAUUGCGCCCGCCAGUAUUCUGGCGGGCAUGCCUGUUCGAGCGUCAUUUCAACCAUCAAGCGCCUCGCUUGUGUUGGGGCCCUGCGGCUGCCGCAGGCUCCUAAAUCCAGUGGCGGGCUCGUCGUGGUACCGAGUGUAGUAAACAUCCUCGCUCAGGGAACCCGACGGGUGCCGGCCGUAAAACCCCCCCUUCUUAAGGUUGACCUCGGAUCAGGUAGGAAUACCCGCUGAACUUAA